rnacentral:rRNA from 1 species
UACGGGGGGAGCAAGCGUUGUUCGGAUUUACUGGGCGUAAAGGGCGCGUAGGCGGCCUCUGCAAGUCGACUGUGAAAUCUCCGGGCUUAACCCGGAAAGGUCAGCCGAUACUGCAGGGCUAGAGUGCAGAAGGGGCAACUGGAAUUCUCGGUGUAGCGGUGAAAUGCGUAGAUAUCGAGAGGAACACCAGAGGCGAAGGCGGCUACCUGGACAAUUACUGACGCUCAGGCACGAAAGCGUGGGGAGCAAAAGGG